AUACGGAGGGUGCAAGCGUUGUUCGGAAUUAUUGGGCGUAAAGAGCGUGUAGGCGGUUCGGUAAGUCAGAUGUGAAAGCCCUGGGCUCAACCCAGGAAGUGCAUUUGAAACUGCCAGACUUGAGUACGGGAGAGGAGGGGGGAAUUCCCGGUGUAGAGGUGAAAUUCGUAGAUAUCGGGAGGAAUACCAGUGGCGAAGGCGCCCCUCUGGACCGAUACUGACGCUGAGACGCGAAAGCGUGGGGAGCAAACAGGAUUAGAUACCCGAGUAGUCC
rnacentral:rRNA from 1 species